rnacentral:rRNA from 1 species
GAUGAACGCUAGCGGCAGGCUUAACACAUGCAAGUCGAGGGGCAGCGAGAUGUAGUAAUACAUUGUCGGCGACCGGCGCACGGGUGCGUAACGCGUAUGCAACCUACCAUAUACAGGGGGAUAACCUUUCGAAAGAGAGCCUAAUACCCCAUAGUAUUAUUUUAAGGCAUCUUAAAAUAAUUAAAGAUUUAUUGGUAUAUGAUGGGCAUGCGUGCCAUUAGUUAGUUGGUGAGGUAACGGCUCACCAAGACAACGAUGGCUAGGGGUUCUGAGAGGAAGACCCCCCACACUGGUACUGAGACACGGACCAGACUCCUACGGGAGGCAGCAGUGAGGAAUAUUGGUCAAUGGGCGCAAGCCUGAACCAGCCAUGCCGCGUGCAGGAAGAAUGCCCUACGGGUUGUAAACUGCUUUUAUGUGAGAAUAAACUUGAGUUUGCGAACUCAACUGAAGGUAUCACAUGAAUAAGGAUCGGCUAACUCCGUG